rnacentral:rRNA from 1 species
GACGAACGCUGGCGGCGUGCUUAACACAUGCAAGUCGUACGGUAAGGCCCUUUCGGGGGUACACGAGUGGCGAACGGGUGAGUAACACGUGAGUAACCUGCCCACAACUUUGGGAUAACGCUAGGAAACUGGUGCUAAUACUGGAUAUGUGCUCCUGCUGCAUGGUGGGGGUUGGAAAGCUCCGGCGGUUGUGGAUGGACUCGCGGCCUAUCAGCUUGUUGGUGGGGUAGUGGCCUACCAAGGCGGCGACGGGUAGCCGGCCUGAGAGGGUGACCGGCCACAUUGGGACUGAGAUACGGCCCAGACUCCUACGGGAGGCAGCAGUGGGGAAUAUUGCACAAUGGGCGCAAGCCUGAUGCAGCAACGCCGCGUGCGGGAUGACGGCCUUCGGGUUGCAAACCGCUUUCAGCAGGGACGAAGCUUUUUGUGACGGUACCUGCAGAAGAAGCACCGGCUAACUACGUG